UCUUCCAACCUCUCUCAUAAUAUGCACGCCAAUUCAUCAUUUCCGCUGUCCAGCCUCCUUGAGAAGAAAACCAUCUAUACAAGCGUAGGAGCCGACCAUCGGGGCUGAGAUCAACGUAUAGUCUAAGGGCUGAGUUUCUCAAGCCCCUACAUCUACAUAGGCAAGCAUAUCCAUCGUUCUGUAGCGCGCAAGAGCAUCGUCCAUGUGAUAUAUAGUUGUGACACAAUAAAAGAAAACCCACACCAGAGGUAGUCGACAUGAUGAUGGUCAUUGGCAAACAUCAGGACGGGUCUCAAGCAAGAGAUUCAAAAUUUCAGGACGUUCAUAUGAGGUCGUCGGAUGUUCAUAGAAGGCUCUGAAUGAAAUUGCUGUUGGUAUAUUCAGGUCACUGAUGGCUCUUGUUGAGAGUCGUCUAAGAUAUAUCACAUGCUUUCAUUGCGAGUUUUCCGUGGCUCAUCAAAGACGGCCGGGGACCCAGUAUAGAUGUACUCAUGACAAAUGAGUUGCAGGUUGAAUAGUGCCAGAUUAGAUCAACUACGUAGCCGCACCAAGUUGGCCCAUCCAUUGGCCAGCAGGCUGCGAAAACCUCUUCACACAAAGUCGAUAAUAUUCAACCAAUGGGGCGCCAGAAGCCAGUCAAGUCAUGCGAUGUGCACCCUCCAGUGCCACCAGGGUUCAUCGAAAAGCUUGGGGUAUCGGAUGGAAUAUGCCUCAUAGCAGUGACGUGCACACUGGCCAGCUGUCUCGUCAAUUUCCAAGUGUCUCGAUUAAGCGAUGAUGGUUUUACCAACAAAGAAUAUAGUGAGUUGGUAACCGGCACAAUGGAGGUUGCCAUCUGCGGCCCAUAUAUAGUUGUGAAAUCACACGAGUUCAUGCCCAAAUGGACGCCGGCUAUGCUUGCGCCAUUGAAGUCAUGGAUCACAUGCGGUCCUAAUGUCCAGAUUUUCAGAGACACAGUCAUUCUUGUGCUCAUAGCUUACGUGAUAUUAGUGGACAUCAGCUUGAGCUUCGUCUGGCUCGCCAUCUUUCCAGUCAUAGCUCUUGUUUUCAUACGAGCGCUGCACCUCAAGUUCAAUCGGCGUACAGGGGGCAGCAGUCGUAAAGUUAAUCAAGGAUCUUCUCUCGUCGUCGAGACUAAAAUGACAACCAUGGAGGUUGGGAUCAUAGUGGUGAUGACACUGGGGGCGCUAUUGGGUAUGGACCAGCUUCCCGACCAUGCAGCUGCCCGGUUCACCAUCUCACAGUUCCUCCUGUUCCUAAGCUGCACGGUGGCGGCAUUGACGCGCAUGGUGAUGAAGCUACCAGCUGGCGCCUCUCCGGGCAUAGCACUGGCGACGGAGAUGCUCCACAAGACCCUGCUUCUCCUCCUGCUGGCGACGGCGCACACGGCGGCGCCGCAGAGUGGCUGGGCGAGGAUGCUGUUCUGCUAUGCUUGCCGGAGGUCAUUCCUGUGCUUCUCUGGUUCAGCCUCCACCUCGACCGUAAACCAGGCAGCAGCUCCAUCAUCAGCGUCAACAAGUUGAAACCAUACAGAAAUAGGCUCAUCUUCCUCGGUGCAAUGGUGGUAGCUCCUCCUUUUGCUUACCUGGCCAACUCCAUGGAUGAAGUUGGGCUCUCCGGCUGGUCUACGACAUUCCAGGUGUCAUGCGGCGUCUCAGGGAUUCUGACCUACUACCUUGUGUUCAUGCUAAGUCACUGGCCGAAGAAACAAGUAGCAGAUGCUGGCAAGGAUGGUGGGGCUUCCGGUAUGCUCAAAUUAUGGGCAUACGCUUUACUCAUAGCGGCGGCUGCGUCCCUACUGCUCAAGUGUCUGGUUUCUGCCAGGCUUGGUCUGCAACUACCACUGCAUGAAACGGUUAUGUAUGUUAGUAAUGUUUUGGGUUUUAACUACUCAAAUUAGUAUAUAUAUCAAAUGUUGUGUUGUGUUUGUAAAAUACACGGUGCUGUAUGUGUGUACAUACGUACAUACAUAUAUGGCGGCAUGUAUGUGUGUCAGUUUGCAUGUUAAUACUGGGGUCUUGGGUGCACACGGAUCAAUUAGCUAGUUAGUUAGUUGUGAAGGAACAAACUAGUGAUGCAUGUGUGCUUGCUAGCACUACCUAGUACUUGUACAUGUUGCAUGUGCGCGACUAGUAUAGUUGGAAAGAGAGAGAGAAAGAGAGAGAGUUAGCUACCUGGAUUGCUAAGCUAGUUAUGUAUACAUUGUGUGAUAUUUGAAGACUGUAUAUACAAUUAAUUGGCAGUUUGUAACUUAUUAUAGCAAGAAGAAAACACACUAUCCUUGCCUCCUUUAAUUGUUUUUUUAAGUAUUGACCGUAGAACCAUUGUUCUAUGGUAUUUUCAUAUAUUAAAAACAGCGCAUAAUAUUUACAAAGGUAGCAAAAAAGAAAA